GUGAGGAAUUUUCCGCAAUGGGCGAAAGCCUGACGGAGCAAUGCCGCGUGAAGGAUGACGGCCUAUGGGUUGUAAACUUCUUUUCUCAGAAAAGAAUUAUGACGGUAUCUGAGGAAUAAGCAUCGGCUAACUCUGUGCCAGCAGCCGCGGUAAGACAGAGGAUGCAAGCGUUAUCCGGAAUGAUUGGGCGUAAAGCGUCUGUAGGUUGUUUAAAAAGUAUUCUGUCAAAGAUUAGGGCUUAACCCUAGAUAGGCAGAAUAAACUUUUAAGCUAGAGUUUGGUAGAGGCAGAGGGAAUUCCCGGUGGAGCGGUGAAAUGCGUAGAUAUCGGGAGGAACACCAAAGGCGAAGGCACUCUGCUGGGCCAAUACUAACACUGAGAGACGAAAGCGAGGGGAGCAAAUGGGAUUAGAUACCCGGGUAGUCC
rnacentral:rRNA from 1 species